UACGUAGGGUGCAAGCGUUGUCCGGAAUCACUGGGCGUAAAGGGCGCGUAGGCGGCCUGAUAAGUAGGGGGUGAAAUCCUGCGGCUUAACCGCAGGGCUGCCUUCUAAACUGUCAGGCUAGAGCACGGUAGAGGCAGGUGGAAUUCCCGGUGUAGCGGUGGAAUGCGUAGAGAUCGGGAAGAACAUCAGUGGCGAAGGCGGCCUGCUGGGCUGUUGCUGACGCUGAGGAGCGAAAGCGUGGGGAGCGAACAGG
rnacentral:rRNA from 1 species